CCCGCCGGAGGACCCGGAAGGACUUGCGCCGAGUGUCCCUUGAGGAGGUUGACCCCGUAUUGCCCCCAACUCAGAGGGUGGGAUCUUCUGGAUCGAGGCUUGAGAUCUCUGCGCGAGGACCUCCUGCUGGAGAUUUCUGGGAUCGAGGUCUCUCCAGGAAAGUCUUUGGGUCCAUUACAAAUAUCUCGACACCCCUCCUAAAUUCAGGUUUUGAACAUUCCCGUUCUACUUGACAAAACUACAUGUCUUCCUUCUGGAAUUGGAAUUGUAUUUUGGACAUAUGUGUUUGCUUCUGGCUUUUACACUUGUGCUCUCAGAUGAACGGAUACAUACUGUAUUAUCUGUAAAAAUAGGCAAAGGCUCAGUUACAUUAACAUUUAAAUCUUGAAAUUAACGGUUUGAUCCACACUCAUUCAGCUAAUUCAUUAAAAGAACUCAUUCCUGCUUCUGUGUCACUCGUGGAAAUUCCUGUUUGUUUCCUGGACGUCCACAUCACAACAAGCCUCCCCCAGAUAGACUGCUAAACCAGAAAUUGCCUUUCUCUCUCCAGGAUCAGUUGCCCAGUCAGCAUCUGCAGAUGCUUUUAAUUCUAGACAGCUUCCAACCUUUGUGAUCCACAGUGCCCUUUAAAUACCUCAAUAACCUUUUUAGUCCAUUCCAAUGGUUGACUUGUGGCUUCACACACUUCAGACUAAAAUGUUAACACUGGCAGCGAUAUCAGGUCUUGUCCAUACUGAUAAAUACAACAACGACCAUAUCGCUAAUCGAUACAAGGGAAUGUUUUCAAAAUCUCCUGUAUCAUUAUCUUUAUAGAAGUCGGUCACCAUAGGAGUAGAAAUUUUGUUUGCUCCAGACUUGUUACAUUACUUAAGCAAAUUCUCUAUUUUAUCUUUUUGACUUAGAACAAAAUGCCCUCGUUCAGCCUUGCUCACAUGGACCUCUGGGUAAUUCUGAAUUUCUCCUAGAUACUUCAUUUUAAAGUGUUUGUUCAUGUUUUCCUGAAACCGCUCUACCUGGCUUUUGUUCUCCACAACAAUGCUGUUAACAAAACCUAGCUAUUUUAUGUUGGUGCCUCAAUUUAUAACUGUCCCAACUUGAGACUAAAUUGAGUUACGGCCAGCUCCGGUUGCAAAAUUUUGCUUUGACCUGUGACCAGGGCUUUGAGAUUCUACCGGGGGAAAAGGCCGGGAAGUUUGAACUGCUUUCCCUCCUUUUCUCCUUCAGU